AUUGAACGCUGGCGGCAGGCCUAACACAUGCAAGUCGAACGAGUGGCGGACGGGUGAGUAAUGUCUGGGAAACUGCCUGAUGGAGGGGGAUAACUACUGGAAACGGUAGCUAAUACCGCAUACCAUCGGAUGUGCCCAGAUGGGAUUAGCUAGUAGGUGGGGUAAAGGCUCACCUAGGCGACGAUCCCUAGCUGGGCUGAGAGGAUGACCAGCCAGACUGGAACUGAGACACGGUCCAGACUCCUACGGGAGGCAGAAGUGGGGAAUAUUGCACAAUGGUCGGAAGCCUGAUGCAGCCAGGCCGCGGGUAUGAGUAAGGCCUUCGGGUUGUAAAGUACUUUCAGCGGGGAGGCGUUACCCGCAGAAGAAGCACCGGCUAACUCCGUGCCAGAAGCCGCGGUAAUAC
rnacentral:rRNA from 1 species